GCUUGCACUGGGGAUUAGUGGCGAACGGGUGAGUAACACGUGAGUAACCUGCCCUUGACUCUGGGAUAAGCCUGGGAAACUGGGUCUAAUACCGGAUAUGACUCCUCAUCGCAUGGUGGGGGGUGGAAAGCUUUUGUGGUUUUGGAUGGACUCGCGGCCUAUCAGCUUGUUGGUGGGGUAAUGGCCUACCAAGGCGACGACGGGUAGCCGGCCUGAGAGGGUGACCGGCCACACUGGGACUGAGACACGGCCCAGACUCCUACGGGAGGCAGCAGUGGGGAAUAUUGCACAAUGGGCGGAAGCCUGAUGCAGCGACGCCGCGUGAGGGAUGACGGCCUUCGGGUUGUAAACCUCUUUCAGUAGGGAAGAAGCCGCGAGGUGACGGUACCUGCAGAAGAAGCGCCGGCUAACUACGUGCCAGCAGCCGCGGUAAUACGUAGGGCGCAAGCGUUAUCCGGAAUUAUUGGGCGUAAAGAGCUCGUAGGCGGUUUGUCGCGUCUGCUGUGAAAGACCGGGGCUCAACUCCGGUUCUGCAG
rnacentral:rRNA from 1 species